rnacentral:rRNA from 1 species
ACUCCUACGGGAGGCAGCAGUGGGGAAUAUUGCACAAUGGAGGAAACUCUGAUGCAGCAACGCCGCGUGGAGGAUGACUACUUUUCGGAGCGUAAACUUCCUUUAUAUAGGAAGAUAAUGACGGUACUAUAUGAAUAAGCACCGGCUAACUCCGUGCCAGCAGCCGCGGUAAUACGGAGGUGCAAGCGUUACUCGGAAUCACUGGGCGUAAAGAGCGUGUAGGCGGGUUAUUAAGUCAGAAGUGAAAUCCUAUUGCUCAACCAUAGAACUGCUUUUGAAACUGGUAACCUAGAGUAUGGGAGAGGUAGAUGGAAUUUCUGGUGUAGGGUAAAUCCGUAGAGAUCAGAGGAAUACCGAUUGCGAAGCGAUCUACUGGAACAUUACGUGACGCUGAGACGCGAAAGCGUGGGAGC